UUUUAAUUUUCUGUUUGUUUUGCUUUGGUACUUGUCUGUCUUGAGAUUUAUCCUACUUGAAAUUCUCUGAGUUGUUUGGAUCUGUAGUUUUAUGUCUUUGAUAUUUUUGGAAAAUUUAUGGCCAUUAUUCUUGAAAUAUUCCUUCUGCCCCAUUUUUUUCUCUUUCUCUCCUGGUAUUCCAAUUACAUUUAUGCUAGACCAUUUGAUAUUCUCUCAUGACUCUUUUGUUUUCCCUUUCUAUUCCUGUUUGUGUUUUAGCUUAGAUAAUUUUUACUGAUCUAUCUUCAAGUUUGAGGAUUGAUUUUCCUGAGGGUGUUUCUCAAUGUUGCUGUUCCACCCUUAGCCUUUGGCCUUCCCUGAUGCCUGUGCCUCAUAAAGCAUCUCUAUCCAGGCUCUUGUCCUUUUCCCCACAGCAGUGGUAGACUGCUAUUGAUAAUUUUUCAGUUCUUUCUAGCCUGGUUGUGUAGGGAAGAGAGUUCCUUUGUUAUCCUGACUCCCUUUCAAGCACUCCACUCCCACAUGGCCUUCGAAGCUGGCUCUGCUGGUUUAGUAUGUUUCUUCCCCAUUUCCAUGUAAAUUGAAAUUUAUAGUGUUCUAGUUAUGCUGUAAGCAUGGGCCAUGUCUGGUUUUAUUUGCUGUAUUGUUUUGGGAGGGUGUAUGGAGAGAUUUGGAUUUAGGUGGAUGCCAUCUAACCUGCUGAAACUCAGAUGUCUUCUGGUGCAAUUUUUGGAUGAAGGUUUCAAAUAAGCCUUGCAAACAUAACAUGGUCUAUUCAUUGCUAUGGUAGAAAGUUUAUCUGUUUGAGAAAUUUGCACAUAGGUAUUGAUAUGACUUAUUUAGAACAAUAGGUAGAAGUGACAAGUGAUUGUUUCAUCUUAUUCUGGAGAGAGGAACACCUCAAUAAAUGUGUGGUAAGUGAUGGGAGAGCAUCAGGUCUAUGAAGUAGGAUUUGGCCAAGGAACUUCCACAAUAGUUAGGGAGAUAGUGGAGGGAGAACAUUCUCAUCUGUAGAGCCAGGCAGACCUAGAUCUGGAUUUAUCAGCUCUACCUCUCACUAGCUGUGUGACUUUGUCUUGGAGUCAGUUGGUAAAAUUAGGACUAGAAAGAUUACAUAGUAAAAGCAAAAAACCUUAGCACAGUGCUGGGCGUGCUGGUGCUUAAUAAAUAUUAGUAUCUUGUUUUUUUUUUUAAAGCCUCUUGCAAAGUGAUUGUAAGAGCAGGAUAGGGCCUCAGCAUAAGGCAAUUAUCAGAACAGAAACUCAGGAACAAGAAGUAAAGUAGAAGCCAAAUAAUAAGAGCUGAAACAGAGAAGACUGAGGCUCUGAAAUGAAGCAAGAAUUCUAUUCUCAGAACUGGCCAUGACAUUCAUUUCAGACUAACAGCAAGGGUGAUGAUGUAAAGCCCAUGUGAAAUGAGGCGAAACUAGUUGGAAACUUCCUUUUUCUGAUUACAGUGAUCCUAAGAACUGGAGUUGGAGAAUUUGUAUGUAGAGGUAUAAAACAAAACCAAACCCACUGCCAUCGAGUCAAUUCUGACUCACAGCAACCCUAUAGGACAGAGUAGAACUGCCCAUAGAGUUUCCAAGGAGCGCCUGGUGGAUUUGAACUGCUGACCUUUUGGUUAGGAGAUGUAGCACUUGACCACUGCACCACCAGUGUUUCCAGGUAGGGGUAUAGCUGUCCAAAAAUGACUUAUGAAAGGGACUCAGCAGCAAAUCAGUAAAUCAGACCCAAAAUAAUUGUCUUUAGUUCCAGACACAUUUAUUCACAAAUCCAGCUAGACUAGCUAGUAAAAGUGAGACACAUAGACUUGGUCAAUCUAUCCUCCAUCCCAAGUCAAGAUAUCUGAUUGAUUCAAGUACCUCACACAUAUGGUAGUUACUCAAUAAAUAUCUAUAGAACAACUGCCUACAUGGGUAUAAAUAUAAACAAAUGAUUUCAUGUUAUCUCCAACUUUGUAAGAUUUCUGAAAUUCAAAUGUCAAUGGCACCUACCGGGAAAUAGAAUUUUCAUAAAGUCAACAGGAAUCCAUGUAUUUGCUAGGAUAAUGCAAUGUGUUUUUUAGUUAUUUUAAUUCUUAAUUUUAUAGAUUGUUGUGCUACUUCUGCAACAUAGUUUUGACAAUAUAUAAGAGUUAUGAAUUCCAAGCAGAGAAAAUUUAGAUCUCUUUAAAUAAGAAGGUACUGCAUUCAGAGUUAGGUUUUUGGUUCAAAAAAUAUUUAUUAGCAUCUACCAUAUGCCCGGAACCCUGGUGGCACAGUGGUUAAGUGUUUGGCUGCUAACCAAAAGGUCGGUGGUUUGAAUCCACCCGCUGAUCCUUGGAAACCCUAUGGGGCAGUUCUACACUGUCCUUAAAGUUGCUAUGAGUUGGAAUCAACUUGACGGCAACAGAUUUUGGGUACCAUCUGCCCAGCAUGGGGACAGGUGUUUGGGGUAUUGGUUUCUGCCAUUGAGAAGCUUAAAGUGUAGUAGGGGAAACAGACAUGUACACAAGCAUGUUCAAUGCACGGUCAAUGUUCCAUUAAUGCACAAAUGGUUGUGCUGGCUGGGGAGUAGGUGGGACCUGUGAGGUAGAUGAAGAAGUGAUGCUGAGAAGAGACUUGAUAACAAAUAGGAUUGGGCAGGUAAAAAACAAAAUGGGGGAGGGGCCUGGUCCAUGUAAAGGGAUCAUCACAGUAUCAGAGAACCACAGGAAGCUUUGUAUUGCUUACAGUAUGGCCAAAAGAAGGGUAGGGUGAGGAGGAGAAGUUGGCCUAGAUGAGGUUGGAAUGGUGAGCAGGUGUCAAACUACAAAGGAAUUCAAAAGAGCUAGUACUUUAUCCCACAGAAAACAUCCCUCAUCAAAUAUUCAUUUCAACCAGAUUUUUUACACACAUGACAGACCACAAAAAAGCUACCUCACAUUAGACCUAACUGGUGUUACUGAUGUUAUUCUCCCAUUCCAAAGUCUGUAACAAAAUCUGCAUAGCCAGAACAAAGUUCGUUGUGUGAGUGUAACAAAUUUAUUUAUUCCUUCUACUGUUGGUAGGCAAUUGGGUUGUUUACAGUUUUUUGCUAUUAUGAAUAAUGCAUUUGGGCACAUGUCUUUUGGAGGACACUCAAACUAAACUCAGAAAACCAAACCCAGUGCCGUUGAGUCGAUUCCAACUCAUAGCAACCCUACAGAACAGAGUAUAACUGCCCCAUAGAGUUUCCAAGGAGCGCCUGGCGGAUUUGAACUGCUGACCCUUUGGUUAGCAGCUGUAGCACUUAACCACUACACCACAAGGGUUUCUACACCUGAGACCUCAAAAAAUCCCUGAAUCUUAGUGUGGUGGAGUCAUUCUCAACUAGUGGGAAACCCAGGAAUUGGUUGGGGGGUGGAUUUUGGCAAUCUUGUGUUAAAUUAAUGGAAGAUUGUUUUCUAGUAUACCCAAGGUCAGGAAGGAAACAAAUUGUUUUUCAUUUAUGGGGAAGGGUGAGGAGAAGAGCAAGUCUGGAUCCGUCUGAGUUUUUAACAGCAUGGAUCAACCAAAAGCAUUGGAAUGACAUGAAUAUGUAUACAUUAUGCACAUUUUAGGGAGCCCUGGUGGCACAGUGGUUAAGUGCUCAGCUGCGAACCAAAACAUGGGCAGUUUAAACCCACCGGCAACUCCAUGGGAGAAAGAUGUGGUACUCUGCUUCUGUGAAGAUUACCCACAGCUGUUGAGUCGAUUUCAACUCCUAGAGACCCUAUAGGACAGAGUAGAACUGCCCCACAGGGCUUGCAAGGUUGUAAAUCUUUACAGAAGCAGACUGCCCCAUCUUUCUCUCAUGGACCGGCUGGUGGGUUCAAAUUGCUCACCUUACUUUCAGUUAGCAGUCAAGCACUUUAUCCACUGUGCCACCAGGGUUCCUCUUGGAAAUGCUAUGGGGCAGUUCUACUCUGUCCUACGUAGGGUCUCUGUGAGUUGGAAUUGACUCAAUGGUUUUUUGUUUUGCCUGUGAACAUCUACACUCAGACUUACUUUCUUGCCUCCCACUGGUAACAAGAAAGACUCAAAAAUACCAUGAAGAAUACUUCCCAAACCCUAAAACGCUAAGUUCUGCAACUAGCUGAGGGUUAGGCUGACUGAUUGCCACACUUCUCUCGUGUCCACUAAACACACUGAUUUAGAUAAUUGUCUCAUUUUGUUUUAGUGUAAUUACAAUUCUUGCCCUUCUUCUCUCCAUCCCAAUUAUCCGACCUCAUAAGCAGUAAAUCUCUGUUCACUGUUGAGACACGUUUUUAGACAGAAGAGCGUUGCUGGAGGUUUCUUCAUACUAAACUGGUAGAAAAUCAGAAACAACAACGCAGCAGGAAGCACCAUCUGCCACAUUUCCUCAUUUGUAGAAACAAGCCUCAAUUAACAAAUCUAAAAAUACCUCUGCGAGCUUACAAAGUUCCAAAAGUUGUCACAAUUGACACAAACCAAUGGUAUGAAUAAAUCCCAACUUUGAAAUGUCAUGCUGACAAUUAAAAUGGCACCAUUUAAAGAGUGUACGUGGCAUAUUUUUACCCUUACCAAAAUCUUUUACUAAUUUAUCACGCGUUUGAUUGAGACUUUCUUGUCACUGAUGUUGAAGUAUGAAAAAUCAGUGUGAAUCAACUGUCAAAUUAGACUUAAAAAAGAAUAAAAAGUUUUCUGGCCUCAAAGAAUAUGUAUCUCUGUAAACUAGUGUAUCAAUUAAAUUCUCUCCUUUUACUACAUUAAUACUCUUGACUGGGCCUCAGUUUGGGGCUGAGGGGUAACCACAGCAUACAUCCUCAGUGAUUUAUUACCAUGUUCAUGUCCAUUUAUGUCACUUAAAGAUUGUGACUUUAUGUCACUGUCACUCCUGGGCUCUAUACCUGGAACUUGUUACAUCCUAAAUUGAAGUCAGUCACCUUGCCCAUGCUCUUUUCUGGGGUAACUGAGCCAAAGAAAAGACCUCCAGGUACGGCCACCUGGGAAUCCCCCAUUGAGAAAGCUGGUUUCAGACCUGAUGAGUUUUCAGUGAAGCCAACACUCAAUGAACUACCUGGCCCAACUCAUUUUCCGUAAAUAUCAUUGAGCUAUUCCUCCGAGUAGGGCUGUGGCCAAAUGGGGGAAGAGUCACAGCACAACAGGAAGAAUAGGUUAAAAUAUACUGGUAAUAUAUUGAAUCAGUAUUCUACACAUGACCACAGAAGAAGGAAGUCUAUGUUCUUUGAAUGGGGCAUCAGGAUUGGAGGAAGGCUCAUUAACAACCUGCUUUAUGCAGAUGACACAACCUUCCUUGAUGAAAGUGAAGAGGACUUGAAGCACUUACUAAUGAAGAUCAAAGACCACAGCCUUCAGUAUGGAUUACACCUCAACAUAAAGAAAACGAAAAUCCUCACAACUGGACCAAUGAGCAACAUCAUGAUAAACGGAGAAAAGUUUGAGGUUGUCAAGGAUUUCAUUUUACUUGCAUCCACAAUCAACACCCAUGGAAGCAGCAAAGAAAUCAAAAGACACAUUGCAUUGGGCAAAUCGGCUGCAGAGGAACUCUUUAAGGUGUUGAAAAGCAAAGAUGUCACCUUGAGGACUAAGGUGUGCCUGACCCAAGCCAUGGUGUUUUCAGUCUCCUCAUACGUAUGCGAAAGCUGGACAAUGAAUAAGGAAUACCGAAGGAAGAAUCGAUGCCUUUGAAUUGUGGUGUUGGCGAAGAAUAUUGAAUAUACCAUGGACUGCCAAAAGAACGAAUAAAUCUGCCUUGGAAGAAGUACAACCAAAAUGCUCCUUAGAAGCAAGGAUGGCAAGACCGUGCCUCACAUACUUUGGACAUGUUAUCAAGAGUGAUCAGUCCCUGGAGAAGGCUAUCAUGCUUGGUAAAGUAGAGGGUCAGUGAAAAAGAGGAAGCCUCUCAAUGAGAUGGAUUGACACAGUGGCUGCAACGAUGGGCUCAAACAUAGCAGCAAUUGUGAGGAUGGCGCAGGACUGGGCAGUGUUUUGUUCUGUUGUGCAUGGGGUUGCCAUGGAUCAGAACGGACUUGACAGCACCGGGUGUACUCUUCCAAGACAGACUGUGUGGCUCUUUCACAUUUAGUGAAUCUCAGGUCUUAUCUGCUUUAUAAUUUCCUCAGCACACCACACAGUCCAGUUUACUUGAAGAAUGUCUAUCUGUACUUUCUAUUAACAUAAAUAGACCAUAAACCAAAAAAUAAAACCAGUUGCUGUGGAGUUGAUUCCAAUUCAUGGUGAUCCCAUGUGUUUCAGAGUAGAACUACACUUCUUCGGGUUUUCCAGCCUGUCACCUUUCAGAAGCAGCUCACCAGAUCGUUCUUCCAAGCUGUCUCUGGCAAUUAAAAAAGAAAAAGAAAUAGCAAAAUGGACUCAGACAUCUACAGGGAAGAGACCAUGUGAGGAAUUACAAGCCAAGGAAUGCCCGGGGCUACUGACAUGGAAGGACCCUCUCCAGAGCCAUUGCUCUGAUUUGGACUUCAAGACUCCAAAAUGUUACUCAGUAUACUUUCUGUCUGAAGCCACCUCAAGCUAAUUGUGUCGUCUACGUCUGCAUUCUAUGGGUACCAGUUGCCUUCAAGUUGACUCUGACUCAUGGGGACCCCACGUGUGUCCAAGUGGAACUGGGCUCCAUAACAUUUUCCAUGGCUGGUUUUUCAGAAAUGGAUCACCAGGCCUUUCUUCCAAGGUGCCUCUGGGAGGACUCAAACCUCCAACCUUUCAGUUAGUAGCUAAGUGUAUUAACUGCUUCUGUCUGCAUUUCAAGGUAAUAUUUGUUCAUUAUAUUUUCACCACUUUCUUGAAUCACAUGUUGUAAUGUGCUUGUCUUUGAGUGACUUUAUUCAGAAGAAAUUUGUCUGCGAAUGUUAUUUAGUAUAUUCUGCAGAUUCAUUUGUGUUCUUCAUUUCAUCAUGUGCUUUCUGUAAGAAAUAUUAAAGUCAGCAUUUUGGAGCAGAGCAGGCAGCUCCAGCUUCUCUGCUGCAGGCUGGUGCUCU